rnacentral:rRNA from 1 species
CUACGGGGGGCUGCAGUGAGGAAUAUUGGUCAAUGGCCGAGAGGCUGAACCAGCCAAGUCGCGUGAGGGAAGACGGCCCUACGGGUUGUAAACCUCUUUUGCCGGGGAGCAGAGGUCCGGACGUGUCCGGGCCGGGAGAGUACCCGGAGAAAAAGCAUCGGCUAACUCCGUGCCAGCAGCCGCGGUAAUACGGAGGAUGCGAGCGUUAUCCGGAUUUAUUGGGUUUAAAGGGUGCGUAGGCGGGCAUUUAAGCCGGCGGUCAAAUGUCGGGGCUCAACCCCGGCCUGCCGUCGGAACUGGGUGCCUUGAGUGGGCGAGAAGUAUGCGGAAUGCGUGGUGUAGCGGUGAAAUGCAUAGAUAUCACGCAGAACCCCGAUUGCGAAGGCAGCAUACCGGCGCCCUACUGACGCUGAGGCACGAAAGUGCGGGUAUCGAACAGGAUUAGAUACCCUGGUAGUC